GCUGGCGGCAUGCCUAACACAUGCAAGUCGAACGAGACCUUCGGGUCUAGUGGCGCACGGGUGCGUAACGCGUGGGAACCUGCCCUUAGGUUCGGAAUAACUCCCCGAAAGGGGUGCUAAUACCGGAUAAUGUCUUCGGACCAAAGAUUUAUCGCCUUUGGAUGGGCCCGCGUUGGAUUAGCUAGUUGGUAGGGUAAAAGCCUACCAAGGCGACGAUCCAUAGCUGGUCUGAGAGGAUGAUCAGCCACACUGGGACUGAGACACGGCCCAGACUCCUACGGGAGGCAGCAGUGGGGAAUAUUGGACAAUGGGCGAAAGCCUGAUCCAGCAAUGCCGCGUGAGUGAUGAAGGCCUUAGGGUUGUAAAGCUCUUUUACCCGGGAUGAUAAUGACAGUACCGGGAGAAUAAGCUCCGGCUAACUCCGUG
rnacentral:rRNA from 1 species